CCUACGGGAGGCAGCAGUGAGGAAUAUUGGUCAAUGGCCGUAAGGCUGAACCAGCCAAGUCGCGUGAAGGAAGAAGGAUCUAUGGUUUGUAAACUUCUUUUAUAGGGGAAUAAAGGUAUCCACGUGUGGAUAUUUGCAUGUACCCUAUGAAUAAGCAUCGGCUAACUCCGUGCCAGCAGCCGCGGUAAUACGGAGGAUGCGAGCGUUAUCCGGAUUUAGUGGGGUUAAAGGGUGCGUAGGUUGUUUUUUAAGUCAGCGGUGAAAGUUUGUGGCUCAACCAUAAAAUUGCCGUUGAAACUGGAAGACUUGAGUGUGUUUGAGGUAGGCGGAAUGCGUGGUGUAGCGGUGAAAUGCAUAGAUAUCACGCAGAACUCCGAUGGCGAAGGCAGCUUACUAGGCCAUAACUGACACUGAAGCACGAAAGCGUGGGGAUUAAACAGGAUUAGAUACCCGGGUAGUC
rnacentral:rRNA from 1 species